GACGAACGCUGGCGGCGUGCUUAACACAUGCAAGUCGAACGGUGAAGGGACCAGCUUGCUGGUUCUGGAUGAGUGGCGCACGGGUGAGUAACACGUGAGUAACCUGCCCCCUUCUUCUGGAUAACCGCAUGAAAGUGUGGCUAAUACGGGAUAUUCUGGGUCUGUCGCAUGGCGGGCCCGGGAAAGAUAUUGCUUCGGUGGGGGAUGGGCUCGCGGCCUAUCAGCUUGUUGGUGGGGUGAUGGCCUACCAAGGCGGUGACGGGUAGCCGGCCUGAGAGGGUGGACGGUCACACGGGGACUGAGACACGGCCCAGACUCCUACGGGAGGCAGCAGUGGGGAAUAUUGCACAAUGGGCGCAAGCCUGAUGCAGCGACGCCGCGUGAGGGAGGGAGGCCUUCGGGUUGUAAACCUCUUUCGCCAGUGAAGCAGGCCUGCUCCUUGUGGGUGGGUUGACGGUAGCUGGAUAAGAAGCGCCGGCUAACUACGUG
rnacentral:rRNA from 1 species